CAGUCGCCGCGGUAAUACGUAGGGUGCAAGCAUUAAUCGGAAUUACUGGGCGUAAAGCGUGCGCAGGCGGUUAUAUAAGUCAGAUGUGAAGUCCCCGGGCUCAACCUGGGAACUGCGUUUGAGACUGUAUGGCUAGAGUGUGUCAGAGGGGGGUAGAAUUCCACGUGUAGCAGUGAAAUGCGUAGAUAUGUGGAGGAAUACCGAUGGCGAAGGCAGCCCCCUGGGAUAACACUGACGCUCAUGCACGAAAGCGUGGGGAGCAAACAGGAUUAGAUACCCCUGUAGUCCCUGUCUCUUAUAA
rnacentral:rRNA from 1 species